CCAGACUCCUACGGGAGGCAGCAGUGGGGAAUAUUGGGCAAUGGGCGCAAGCCUGACCCAGCAACGCCGCGUGAAGGAAGAAGGCUUUCGGGUUGUAAACUUCUUUUCUCAGGGACGAAGCAAGUGACGGUACCUGAGGAAUAAGCCACGGCUAACUACGUGCCAGCAGCCGCGGUAAUACGUAGGUGGCAAGCGUUAUCCGGAUUUACUGGGUGUAAAGGGUGCGUAGGCGGCUGUGCAAGUCAGUAGUGAAAUGCAUGGGCUUAACCCAUGAACUGCUAUUGAAACUGCACAGCUUGAGUGAAGUAGAGGUAGACGGAAUUCCCGGUGUAGCGGUGAAAUGCGUAGAGAUCGGGAGGAACGCCAGUGGCGAAGGCGGCCUGCUGGACCGUGACUGACGUUGAGGCUCGAGAGCGUGGGGAGCGAACAGGAUUAGAUACCCUCGUA
rnacentral:rRNA from 1 species